rnacentral:rRNA from 1 species
UUCCAGACUCCUACGGGAGGCAGCAGUGGGGAAUAUUGCACAAUGGGGGAAACCCUGAUGCAGCGACGCCGCGUGAGCGAUGAAGUAUUUCGGUAUGUAAAGCUCUAUCAGCAGGGAAGAAAAUGACGGUACCUGACUAAGAAGCCCCGGCUAACUACGUGCCAGCAGCCGCGGUAAUACGUAGGGGGCAAGCGUUAUCCGGAUUUACUGGGUGUAAAGGGGGCGCAGACGGCGAUGCAAGCCAGGAGUGAAAGCCCGGGGCCCAACCCCGGGACUGCUCUUGGAACUGCGUGGCUGGAGUGCAGGAGGGGCAGGCGGAAUUCCUGGUGUAGCGGUGAAAUGCGUAGAUAUCAGGAGGAACACCGGUGGCGAAGGCGGCCUGCUGGACUGCAACUGACGUUGAGGCCCGAAAGCGUGGGGAGCAAACAGGAUUAGAUACCCUCGUA